UGAGCCAAGAGUCGGGAGCGGAGUUAACCCUAGAAUUGGAGAAUUGGAUCAGGUGAUGAGAUGAGUGGGAGACGAGAGAGCGAAGGCGGAGGCAGUCUUGGGUGGUGGACGCGCGAGCCUCUCUUCUGCUUGGUUUCUUUUCAUUCUCCUCCUCCAAUCUAGACUAUGUGGGCUUUGUUAUUAUAUGCAUCGAUUCCGGCGUCGUCCCGGGUGAUCUACUUGACAGAAGAGAGUGAGCACACAGCGGCGUGGGUGUCGCCGGGAUGCCGUCGCCGUUGCGUGCUCACGUCUCUCUCUGUCAUCCCUGUCUCCCUGGCGGUGCCGGAUGAGAGAAAUCUGCUCUCCUUUUCCCUUUUUCUUCUUUCCUUGCUUCUUUGAUCUUGUGUGAUGAGGGUUGAUGACGGUGACGAUGAUGCGAUUUGGUGAAAGAGGCAACCUUGCGUGGGUAUAUCGAUGGUGGAUCUGAUUGGACGCUCGUGCGAGGCAGGCUUUUCCUUUUCCUCCUCCUCCUCCUCGAACUUCGAUGCUGUCUUGACUAGUUUCGCUUGUCUUUUUAAUCAGCUUGGUUUCCCAAGUACUGCUACUACUACUAGUUUUGGGUCUAUUUCAGACUUGGAGAGACUGGAACUUAUGGAUCAUGGAAGCGUGACUUUUGAGACGAUUGUUUCGGAUAAGGGCGAAGUACAUGAUCCAUCCAUAUGCCUAUUGUCUUCUCUCUCCUUUCCUUCUCCGCUUUCUUCCUCUUUUCCUUUCUAGUCUUCGUCAAGAUCCAUGCCCAAAACCCAUCCUCAAGAAUUCGUUGCGUUCUUCUUGGGCGUAGAUCAACUGUAAUAAUCGUGUAGUGGAUGCAGCACCUCUCACUUUGGAGCUAUCAGGUCACUUAUCUCCACUUGUUGCUUCAGUUAAAAUUUGCUUCGCUCCUGCAUCAAAACCACCAUUGACGUGGUCCUCCAUUCUCUCGCUGGAAGUCGGAUUUCGUUCCAUGGUCGACAUUCUAUACCAGUGUUUGGUAGAGAAGCAAGUUGAGGAAAAGACUUGUCUGCUUUUAGGUUCAUGCAGUGGAGGUUCUGGUUUCUGUGGUCUCAGCUACUCGCUCCCAGAAAGUUCUCCUUUUGCUUAAGGUAAUGAGACAGCUCUUCGUAACUUCCUUGUCGCUAAUGUUUUCCACCAAGUUGUGUAGUUAUACCUUUGUAGUGUGACACACUUGAUAUCUGUUAGACGACUAAUUCAUGGCUUUUAUUAGGGGAAUGUGUAAGAAGUUAGGAUUAGGUAUAUAUUUUAUGUCAUCAUGAGAACCUUGAACACAAAUAUGAUAAAUUGAUGACAAUCGCUAAGAGGAUGACACUUGACCUCCUGAUCUCGCGCAUCGAGUGCAAAAUUCAUGUUUUGCCUUCUUGAUGAGGGAGAUGUGUGGGGAUGAUAUGUCCUCGUGUUUAACUAUCUUAUAAAGUUGGCUGACAGAAAAUUUACUAGAGGACUCAGUUGAUACAUGUUCUUUAAUGUUAAUUAACAUGCGCGAUUUAACAAAUUGUAUCUCGGCUUAGAAUAUACAGGCAUCACUUGCCUUUUCUUUAUUCCAUCAUGAAAAUCCAAUUUACUUCUAAGUUCUAACUACAUCUUUUGUGGGUAUCAAAGUAAUAUGAUGCUUAAAAUGUGGCAAACUAAACUAAUUGUGGUUGAGUGAUCUCUAUUGAAGAUGCAAGUGCAGUCUCUUGGACUUGGAUUAUAUAUAGAACGUAUAUGGAGGUAAGAGUGAUGACAUGAUGGAUUGUGGCAUGGAGUGAAUGGGAUGGAUGGAUUUUGUUGGUUCUAAAUAAUAUUUUUAUGUGUAGAAGGCAAGAAAGUGAGCUUUCUCAAUAGAUUAAGACUUGGCUUUUGACUGAAUCCUUCUUCAACUCUUGGUACGAGAUAGUCAAGCUAUAUGUAACAAAAGGUAAACAAAUUAGAUAGAAACUUUUAACAUUAUUUGUGCAUCACGGGAUGAGCACAUCAUGAGGACAGAAGGGUGUAUUCAGUCAAAACUGUCAAUUCAUAGAAAAGAAUUCAACAUGGUGAUUCUUAUCCAGAAACACAAAAGAAAUCCUUGUCAUUAGGACCACCUCUCUCUUAGUCAUGUGGAGACUUUUAUCCAAUUGGCCACUUUUUCCUUAGUCAUAUGGAGACUUCUACCCACUUUUUUCCUAGUCAUAUGGAUAACACUUCUACUCAAAUUAUAUGUGUCAUUCUAAUUUUUGUAUUUAUUUUCGGAUGCAUUUGGUUUUGUCUUAUGAUGCAAAAAAUUUUACGUUGUCUUUUUCCAUUACAAUCUUUGAUCAUAUCAUGUACUUGUGACUUAAUUUGUCUCACUCAUUUGUUGGUCAUCUUUGAGCUACAAUCCAUCACUCUGAUGCUUAAGGCAGUUUUAUUUAUUUAUUUCGGAAUGUAUGUAGCUCUUUCCUUAUAAUCGAGAAUGGAUCAGUCACACACAGAAAAAGAUAAGAUGGAUCUGAGUGAUAGAUGGAUAUGUCACACGGAGAAAAAAAUAAUAUGCAUAUGAAGGUAUAUAGCCCCUCCCUUAAUCACCAAUGGAUCUACCACACGGAGAAAAAAUAAUAUGCAUCUGUGAUGUGGCUUAGUCUCCUGAACCCUAGCAGAAGAUUCAGGAUAAUGGUUUAGUAUCGUUCUGAUAUAACUUAUUAAGAGCACAUAACAUUCCUGUUUGAAUGAUCUUUUCAGUUUAGGAAAACAUCCCAUUUUGAAUCAUCCUGACUUUUAUAAUUUUUCUUUCAUUUUGUAUUAAACAUAUGUACUCUUCUCUAUCCAUUAUUCUGGUUGACUUUAGUCGUUAUUGUGAAUCUUGUGCUCCAUCCGUUGCUUCUUAUAUCCGCUUCAUCCAAUUUGCUCUAAGAUCAAGUAAUUCUGACUAGCUUAACAUAAUUGGUUUCUUCGUUAAGACUGACCACCUUUCAAUUGUCAGCUUGUGUGAAAACCAAAAACUAUUUAUUAACAUAAAUAUAGGGUUUGCUGUGCCAACCUGUAUCACUUAAUACCGAGAUACAUACUAGUUCGAUGAGAUAUCGGUACGAGGAUCGUCCUUUACCAGGUGAUAUCAUCACAUGACCUUGUAUCGAACGAUACGAUAUUUUUAUCGAGCGAUAAUGGUUGAAAUCUGAUCAUUAUUGUUCGGAAAUCCAAUCAUUACCAACUUAUGCCAGUUGGUAAAGGUCAAGUUUUGACAUUUACUAAUCAAGGGUUGAGAUUUCUCUAUUUCAAAUAGUCAAAUUAAUCGUUUAAGGCUUAAAAGAAGGUUUUUAAAUAUUUUUCUUCCUCUUUCAAUUCAUUUUGCUCUCUCGAUCUCUUCAACUCUAUUAGCUUGUGACACCCUGAUUGAUUACGACGAUUAGACUACACCUUGUAUCGAUAGCCUCGGACAUGUGGUUCACGACGAUCAGAUUACGACCAUCAUCACAUUGUUGCACUGAUGACAUAUGGUGUAUCAGUACACUAUGUCAUGGGAUCAAUUUUAGGAUUGAGUCUGACAAACAUAUCAUAUUAAUAUACAGAUAUAUAGGAUCAAGGACCCCAAUACAUCACUCGUGGAGUCUUAACGUUCUUUUUAGUGGUAGAACCAGAUAUAUUCGUUGAUUAAUUAUUUAAUUCAUUUGAAUCUUAAAGUUUAAGUUAUUUAAAAAAUAAUCUAACAAUCAAAUUAUUUCUUUGUAGAUAAUUAAAUAUUAAUGGGAGGACGAUUCAAAACAUACCGUAAAGUUACUCCUCAAAGCUCAAAAAAGGUGUCAUUAUUAUUUCCUAAUUUACAUUAUUUAUGUUAAAAUUAUACUAAAAUUAUAUUUAUUUUUAACUUAAAAAUCCUAAUCUAAUUUUUUUUUAAUUUUUUAGAUAUUCUUGAAGUUGUUUUUGAUAAUUUUGGUUGUAUCAUUGGUAUGUCCCUAUGUAUCAUCGGUACACCUCGGUACAUAUCAUACCGAUACCUAAUCGAUACAUCGGUACAUAUCAAAAUUGCAAACCUUAUAUAAAGAUUUGUUUGUCUGACAUUUUAGGCUAGUGAAGAAUUAAGAUACGGGUGUUGUCAGAUCCAGGAAUCAUUAGCAUUUGUUUUGAUGGAAAACUAGGUCAAUGAAUACAAGAGACUGCCAUGGAUGGUGUUUGAUUGCAAGAGACUGCAAUGUCACCCUUACUCCUUGUAUUACAUUUGUUCAAUAGUAUUUAAAGUAAAAAUUAAUCCCAUAGGAAAAAUAGUCAAUAUGGAUUUAUUUAUUACUAUGUAAGCAUUUUACCACUUUCUACCCUUAGAAUGGCAUGACUUUGUUGACUGGCUUCCUCUAUAUGAAGUGAAACGUUUCUUUUAUUUUCACAUGAGGUCUGUGUUAUUUGGAAGGCGAUACUAUUCUUAUAGGUAAUGUAGAAUUUGAAAUUGAAGUUUAGAUAGUAAAGAAGGUGAUGUAGAGAAAUAGAGAGAGAGAGAUUAAAAAUUAGAGGAGAAAAAAAGAGGAGUGAGAUUAGAGAUUAAAGGGAGAGAAAGAGAGGAGAAAAAGAGGCUAGAAGAGAGAAAAUGUAAUUCUUUUUCAUUCAAAUCUGAACAGUUUCAUCCAUUGAUAAGCUCCGGUUUAAGAGCCUUAGUAUAAUCAACCUAGGUAAUGAUUUCUGAUAAGCUCCGGUUUAAGAGCCUUAGUAUAAUCAACGUAGGUAAUGAUUUCUAAGAGUAAUCUCUUAGAGAACUUGUAUGUCUUUUAUAAACCCAAAAUAUAACUCCUAAAAUAUCUAAACAACUUUAAAAUAACUUAUUAUAACUGAGAAAAAAAAGAGUACACUUAGAUACAAAAGUAAACUCCCAAAGGUAGCACCUAAAAAGGUUAAAGAUUCUUUAAUUUUUCAAACAAUUCUCAGAGUUUCUAAGCCAACUAAUUAAUGACUUUUUAUUGAUUUUCUUAUCUAGAAUAAAUUAUUCUAAUAUCCUUUAUAAAACUAGAUGAUUCUCCAUUAGAAAGAUUUUCCAAAGUAUGCCUCCUAAAAAACCUAUAGGAAAUUGAAUCAUCAUAUCGGCUUGUCAAAUCUCUUCAUAUGUUUCUCCAUGUCCAAACCCUCAAUUGAUCUUUCUUUCGAAGCUUUUCAUCUUCCUCUUCAAUCCAUCUUAUUUCUUCCAAGUGAUUGCUAUAUUCCAUUAAAGAUUAAUACUAUAUGAACAAAAAGGAGCUAGCAGGAGUCUCUAUGCUAUCUCACUAGUGUUGAAUUGUUACUUGGAAGGAAGGGGAAGAGUAACACACAAAACAAUGGUGCCUUACGGUAUAAAUGGAGCUGCAAAUAUAAUACAAGCAGACAACAGUUGAAUGGGCAUUUGUGAGCAAUGAAUUAAAAAGCGCUAGGCGUCAAAAGGUACCAUGAUCCAAAAACGCCCGAGGCGAUCGGGCCAUCUCUCGAGUGAAGUGAUGCGCUAAAAAUUAAUAAUAUCAAAAUUAAUAGUAUUAAAAUCAAAAUAAUAGUGUUAUACUGUAUAUAGUAAAUAGUAUAUUAUAUAUUGUUAACAGUAUACAAUAUAAUAGUAUACUGUAUACUUUUAACAGUAUACUUUUGAUUUCGAAAGAGGAGAAGCGAAAGAGAAGAGAAGAGUGUAAGGGAAGAUCGAGGGUGUUGAGAAAAGUGAGAGCGGCAGUGGUAGUGGCAACAGUGAGCGACGACAGUGGCAGUGGCAGUGGCAGCGGUAGCAGUGAGCAACGGGAGCGGGAGCGACGAGCGGUGACAGAGGCAGCGACAGCAGCGAGCAGCGAUUGCGGGAGCAGGAGUGACGAGUGGCGACAGUGGCAGCGAUAGCGGCAGCGGUAAAAGCUAGUGACAACAGCGAGCAGUGGGAGCAGCGACAGCGGCAGCGAGCAACGUAAACAGCGAGCAGAGUUAGGGUUGGGGAAGUCGCACUGAUAUCGAUGCUUUAGUUGGUUCAAUUGAACCAACUAAAGCACCGAAGAUCGAACCAGACCUAAACUGCUAGUUCGGUCGCCUGGUUUAACCCAGGCGCUCACCCGAAAUGCCUGACGCUUGAGCUCUCGGGCGAGCGCCUAGGUGGCGCCUCUUUGAAGCACGCCGUCUAGAAAUGAAGCGAGGCGCUCGGGCCUCACCUCGUCUCCUCUCGCCCGAGUGCCUAGGCGAGCGCCCGAGCGCCUUUUUAAAUCACUGUUUGACUGAGCCCUUGCAAUCUUUAAAUAUCAGGCAUGUUCAACACAUGAUUCAGAAAUUUUGAUGGCCAGGACCGGUAUUUCUGAUCCUGAUCUAUUUGGUAAGUAGAUUCUGCGACCUGGCCAUGGUGUGAAACAUGUAUCUAUAAUUGAAAAACAAGUGAUAGCAAUUUUCAUUUGUACUGAUAUCGCAUAUGUAAGAGUGAGUAUUGCCAUGCAUUUCUUUUUUACUUGGCUUCGGUUGGCAAUCUGCUGUACAGUAAUGCCACAUAGACACACUUAAUCUUGAGUUCCAAACUUUUCUUUCCAUAUUUUGUUGAAAUUACUGUGUUUUGUGAUUUACAGGUCUUCAUCAUUUAAGAGUUUAUCAUUAAUUAUUGGCAAAUAUUUCUAUUAGCUGUCCAUCACCACUUGAUGCUCUACUUUUUUCUUCGUCGACCCAGGAACAUGAACCAUAUUUAGCAGUUCGAUAACUUGAUUUACAAAAUUGUAGGAUCAUGAAUUAACAUUGAGGUUUUUCAUUUCAAUUUCUUGGAAGAAGAGACAAGUGAUUCAUAAAUACAUUAUAUAAAUCCUUUCAGAUCCAUCAUAAUGAAAAUUAUUUUUAUUUAAUUUUAAUAAUAAAUUCUUGGUUACCUUUUAAAUUAGGGUAAUUCUGACUAAGAGGCCAUAAUUGAAAUGCUACUAAAAUUUAAGAAAGCCACAAAAGCUAAAUAAUAUCAUUACCUAGGUAGUUUAAUAAGAUUUUCAUACAGUUUAUUUUACAAAAAAAAAAAAAAAAUCUAUAGAUAGGACAGUGAGAUGAAGCUCAGAAAAGAUUUUAAGAACAUUAGUUAUCAAAGAACGCAUUUUGGUCAAACUUUGGUUGUUUGAUUAUAAUUUUUGAAAGAGCUUUUGGGAGAAGUUAAAGAACUUCUUCAGGGAGGAUCAAAAUGUCCUCCAGAUUUUUGCUUUAAAAGAUUCUUUAAUUGAAUAUCUUUUGACAUCAGCGUCUAUAUUAUUGUUGAUACCAUUACUCAUACUGUUAUUAUCAUCACUGCCAAUAUUAUUGUUUCAACAUUGCCACCGUCUUUUGCCAUCUUCAUUGCUAUUACUACCAUCAUCUACUAUCAUUAUCAUCAUGACUGUAACAACUGUCUCUAUCAACCUGUGAUCGUUAUCAUUCAUUAUUGUUGUUGUUGCCUCCAGUAUUAUCAUUAUCAACAAUACUAAUCUUCAUCAUUGCUACUGCUACCAUAAUCACGGACCAUUAUCAUUAUUACCAUCUCCAUCAUAAGAAUGGUCUUCAUCAUCACCUUUAUAAAUACGACCGCAAGCACCUUCAGCCAUUGCUAUUGUUAUCAUGAUUAUCAUCGUCGGUGCCAACGCCACAAUCCCUCCACCAUUAUCAAUUGCUUGGUCAAUUAUUUAUUUGACUACAAAAGCAAAAUCUGUUGGUAAACGCUAAAGCAUUUCCUAUAUUCAGGUUUAGAAUGAGCUUUUCCUAAGUCCACCUUGUUGAAAGUGAAACAAGAUCAAAGGGGUUGGAGUGGUUCAGAUUUGAUAAAGUCGAUCUUUUUUUUAAGGCUUUAAGCAAUCUUAAAUUUUGGAUGGAUCAUGUUAAGAAAAGUUGUAGAAUUUUUGGUAGAAACCUUAUAGGGUUCAAAUUUAAUAUGGCACAUUAGAGUCAAAAUUAAAUUGUUUAUACAAUUUUUAACUAGUUCAAUUUCUGCAUGGAUCGUGUUAAAGGACUAUGAUAAUAGUUUUAUCCUUCGGGUGUCAUAUUGUGUUAAUCAAUGUUACGAUAAUAGUUUUGUCGUUCGGGUGUCUAAUUGUGUUAAGCAAUUUUAUCACCAGCCUCCUGAGGAUGAAUACUCAAAAGACUCUUUAAUAUACUUUUUACACUAAACCAACUCUAACAGCGAAGUUUGUGAUGUGUUAAGCAUGUUUUUUUACAUCUUUGAAAGUUGGCCAAUCUUGAAGGUGGAAGGUUAUAUAUUUUGUACUUUUCGACAACCUACCCUAAAGCUAAUGGCCGUAAUGUAUUUGGUGUCUGCUUGUUCUCUACUUAGCCAACCCCAAAGGUGGAUGAAUUUUCACUGCUAUGUCAACUCCGAAGGCAAAGGCCUUAAGGUAUUAUAAAACUCAUUUUGUUCUUCACCUGGCCAACCUUGGGGAUGAAGGCAACACACAAUGUUCCAAGCUUAACCAUGAUCAGCAUAGGAUGAAAAAGGUUCUAUUGUAUGCUUAUACCAAUAGGAAAACAAGGACUUAUACAUGAAUGAAUGAGCAAAGGAGACUCUAGAGAAGAUACUAUCAUUGCAUGACAGAGUGACUUCAUCUUGCUGCCAAAGUACUUAUUUGUUUCAACGUGUUCAAAAUAAAAUCGGAUAGAAUUCACGUACAUCUAAUGUGCAGUUAGGUUGAACUCAAUUGGUCAAUGUGUCUGAAACUUUGUGCAGCUGCGGCUAAUUGAGACCAUUAGAGGUUAUUUUAUCUGAGGCAGAUUCAUGGAUUGAACUUUGAAGUACUUCCGAGGAUAAAAUCAUUGUUUUCAGAAAGCACAGAUCAACAUAGUGAAUGUUAGACACACAUCAUGAUCUUGGUAUGAGUAUUCAUGGAACAUAGGCAAAAGAGUAUGUGCUUGGGCAAUUUAUCCAUAGGUGAACCACCCAUAACACAACACACAAACUGAGCAGAUUCUUUCGUUUACUACUGCCUCUUUCACUCCUACCAUUCUUCAUUCAGGGAUGAUACGACACGCGAGAAUGAGCCAAGGCUAGUUUUUUCUGUAAUGGUUCCUAAAAGAAAUUGAGUGCUUAGUGGAUAGAGAGAAAUUUUGAAAGUCCAAUCAGCUAAGUACAGAACAAUAACAUAAUCAACAAUAGAGGAGAGGGAUGAAGAAGAAAUUAGAGACCACCUAUGAUUUCUCAUGUGUUAAAUAGUUAUGUUUACUCUUUGCAAAUGUUUGCUUCUCAUUGUCAAAGAAAUGCCUUUUACACUCAUAAAUGAAGCUUAAAGAUAAAACCCAGAUCAUGCUAGCUAUCCAUCUUUUGAUCUCACAGCGAACUCAAAUCUAAUUCUUGUAUUUUUUUUUACAUUUUCAUGUCUCUAUACAUGCAUGUCUGGCAGCCUUUCUGGUCUUUUUUUUUUUUCGUUUUAAUUUAUCGAUUUUUCAUUCCUGUUUCGUGUAUAAAUCUAGAUCCGAUUCAGCAAUUAGUUCAACAUGGAUAGAUCAGAUGAAACAAAUCGGCUUCUCAUGACAAUUUUUGCAUCGGUCUAGCUGCUUCUUCUUAUUAUUUUUUUUACUUUUCUAAGUAAGAAGCUUAAGUAAGUCAUGCGUUGACAAACCCUUCAUACCGACCGAUUUAAUUUGUUGCAAAGAAACUCGAUCGCAGUGAUAGUAGCUGGAAAGGCCAAACUCCAAUGGAAUUAUUGCCGAAUGUUACUAUAAGAAGCAGAUUCUUUUCCUGCUAGGUGUUCCUUUCAUCUUGUCCAGACUAGCUAUUGCUUGAUGUCCUUACAGAUCUUUCUAGGCUAUCUUCCCGAGGGCUUUAAUCUACUUGAAUAUCUGCAAUUUUGUGUGAGGGAACUGAGACAAGGGCAAUCCAGUAUGAAUGAUAUUGAUCUUGUCCUUUCCUCAUUGAAUCCUCAAUUCACAUUAUGCCUUGCUUUCGACAAAGCUUUUGUUUGCGUCCAUUUCGCGCGUCUUAGUGCUUUUGUUCUGCCUUUUCAUCAAGCUAGUGAUACAGUAUACGUUAGAAGUUGCUAUGACAAGAACUAAACCGAGUUAAGCAACAUUACCAUGUUCAUUAUCUGGGUUUUACUAUUUGCUGCAUAUGUGACGAAGACAUUGAGAUAAAUUUGAACUCAUCAAGAGACAUAUACGCAUCCUAUACUCUCUUUUCAUUUUUAUUGCACUUUCUUGUCCGGCAAUAUGGUGGUAACAAAUUGUGAAGCAAGGAUUUCGGUCUUCUAAGUUGAUGCACAUAAGCAUUAAACGUCCAAAUACAUUAUCUUUCACUACCUUCGAAUAGAACUUUUCCAUGGUUACAAGGUUCUGAAUUGCCAAACUUCAGCAAUGUACCAGUUCUCAGAGAGAGUGAUGGAAUGGUUCUCAUACAUUGGCCAAUAUCAGGAGUUUUGUUUCCUCAUACAGUGCUUGUAACUGAUCUCCAUGAAAAGGACUCUCUUAUUUCAGAGGGGAAAACUAAAAGGGAAGCUGCAGUGCAAUCGAACAGAUGGGAAGAAAGCGUGUUGGUCGUCAUGAAUCUAUCAAAUUGGAUCCAAGAGCUGAAGCCUAAGCCAUGGAAGAAGUGGAGAGAAGAGAUGUCUCCGGAUCGCUGCCAUAACUGUAACUUUUGCCAUGAUGACCAAAGAAAUGCUUGAUGUCAAAUAUUUUGGCUCACAGAAGCAAGGAAAUCAUGGACAUGAGAGGCUUCAAAGAAGAUGAACAAGUAGUAGAGGAGUACUUGCUUGUUCGGACCAUUAAGUACACUUGUUAUUCCGUCUUUUUCUAAUGAGAAUUUGUAGUGUACUGUCUCACAACCUUUGCCGCAUUUGAGGCUUCAACAGUCGAGGGAGGGAAUUGUCAUCCGUCGAGUCUCCUUCGUUGUAGAGUUGCAGUGUGCAAAUCUUCCUUGGUUUUGGUGUUGCAAUGAGCAUUGUUUUAAUGAAAAAAAAUGGCCAUUUUAGA